GCCAGCCCCAUACUUCACUUUUAAAAAGUUUAAAUCUGAUGUUGAAAAAAGAUACCAGAGUUGACUGAAGCCUCUCAUGUACUCCUCCUGGAGCCCAUUUACCUCUCAGUGUUUUCAAGCCAGUAUCCAAAUCAUAAUUUUGGGAGAGAGGAGCAAUGGACUUUUUGAGAAUUCAGAAUGUAAAGAAAGUGUCCUACCGAUUUUUAAGAAAAUCUAAAAAGAACGAAGAUCCCUAUUAGCUGAGAGACCGAGAAGCUCACAGUCCCCAACGCUACAGGGAUGUUUCAAGGAAUACUUUGAAAAGCAGAAUCUGUGUCUUUGUGCAUCUUAAAUUUAAAGCGACUGCCCCAUUGAACAAAACACAGAGAACCUGAAAAUUUCUGAGAAACUCCAUCAAACAGCCCUCGUAAAGCAAUGUCUCCAGGACCUACUGUUCUAUCUCUUCAAAUCCAGCACAUGUGGGCUAAAAAAGGACUUAGUAUGUUACCGGUCAUGAAAUGGACUAUCCAUAGAUAUUUUCUAAAUUUUAAGAAAAAAUAUAUUUACUGC
rnacentral:lncRNA from 1 species